GACGAACGCUGGCGGCGUGCUUAACACAUGCAAGUCGAACGGAAAGGCCUGCUUUCCCUUGUGGAUUGCGGGUACUCGAGUGGCGAACGGGUGAGUAACACGUGAGUGAUCUGCCCCCAACUUGGGUAUAAGCCUGGGAAACUGGGUCUAAUUCCCGAUAGGACUGCAGGGUGGUGCCUGUGGUGGAAAACGAUUUUCUAGUGGUUGGGGAUGAGCUCGCGGCCUAUCAGCUUGUUGGUGGGGUAAUGGCCUACCAAGGCGGCGACGGGUAGCCGGCCUGAGAGGGGGGACGGCCACAUUGGGACUGAGAUACGGCCCAGACGCCAACGGGAGGCAGCAGUGGGGGAUAUUGCACAAUGGGCGGAAGCCUGAUGCAGCGACGCCGCGUGGGGGAUGACGGCCUUCGGGUUGUAAACUCCUUGCGACCGCGAGGAAGCCACCUGGUUGGAAGGGUGGUGACGGUAGUGGUAGAAGAAGCACCGGCUAACUACGUG
rnacentral:rRNA from 1 species